AUGGAGCCCUGCAGCAUCCUUGAGACCAACUUCAACUCUAUCAUGAAACGUGAUGUGGAUAUCUGCAGGGAUCUGCAUGC
rnacentral:pre_miRNA from 1 species